rnacentral:rRNA from 1 species
GACGAACGCUGGCGGCGUGCUUAACACAUGCAAGUCGAACGGUAAGGCCCUUCGGGGUACACGAGUGGCGAACGGGUGAGUAACACGUGGGUGAUCUGCCCUGCACUUCGGGAUAAGCCUGGGAAACUGGGUCUAAUACCGGAUAGGACCCUGGGAUGCAUGUCCUGGGGUGGAAAGCUUUUGCGGUGUGGGAUGGGCCCGCGGCCUAUCAGCUUGUUGGUGGGGUGAUGGCCUACCAAGGCGACGACGGGUAGUCGGCCUGAGAGGGUGACCGGCCACACUGGGACUGAGAUACGGCCCAGACUCCUACGGGAGGCAGCAGUGGGGAAUAUUGCGCAAUGGGCGCAAGCCUGAUGCAGCGACGCCGCGUGAGGGAUGACGGCCUUCGGGUUGUAAACCUCUUUCAGCACCGACGAAGCGCAAGUGACGGUAGGUGCAGAAGAAGGACCGGCCAACUACGUGCCAGCCGCCGCGGUAA